CAUAUGACCCUGAACGUGCCCAACCUCAUCUCAUCUCAGAAGCUAAGCAGGGGCGGGCCUGGUUAGUACUUGGAUGGGAGAAACAAUUCCUUUUCACACUUAAAUUUUAUCAGUUGGCAAGACCAGGCU
ensembl:rRNA 5S_rRNA 5S ribosomal RNA